rnacentral:lncRNA from 1 species
AGGGCCGGUACUUUAUGUCUCCGUUAACAGCCGGUUAGUUAACCGGGGUUUAAUCGGGACAGAAAUAUAUGCAUAAAAUAGACAUACACGCAAUUAUACUUAUUAUUAUGUUCAUAAAUAAUUAUAAUAAUAAUUACAAUUGCUUUUAUUACAACGCAAGAGGCCCUAUCAGGUACUUUUCUGUCCCGAUUAAACCCCGGUUAGCUAACCGAGGUUUAACCGGGACAUAAAGUACCGGCCCUUAAUGUCCAGCAAACGACGGCAAUGUUGCCAGAUUCCUUUUAGCGGGAAUUUUAAAAUUUUAUAGCAGUUUGGUUUUAAAUUUGACAGUUCUGUUUUCUCAAGUCAAAAAUCUUAACCUUACUUUUACAAGUGAUUAAGAUUAUUAUUAUUUUAUUUACACGUAAAUUGAAACAAUAAAUAUUGUGCUUUGUCAUAAUUUAAAACUCAUUAUGUUGAAGUCUUUUCCAGUUGAUAAAAUUGCAAUUCAAAAACUUUUAGAUUUGCACUGUAUGGAUGGCACAGGAAGAGAACAGAGUACAAGAACAUGAAACAUCUUAUUAUGAAUGUAUAUGUAUGUGAUCCUCAAAAAAUUAUUUUUCAAAACAAGAUAGAGAAAGAGCUUUAAAAUCUUUAAAAGCUAUAAAAAUAUUGAAACUGUUUUAAAACACAUUAUAGGCAUGAGGAUGAUAUAGAGCACUUACAUAAAUACCAAAAUCAGAUAAAUAUCUCUUCAAAGUUUAUUUUGAGACUUUCUUCAAAAAUUAAACUUCAGACUGUUCAGGAUAGCAUAAUAGCAUAGGAGGCGAAUUAAAAAGAAUUAAUUUACUUACAAGAAAAGAUAUCACAAACAUUAAACUCUCUUAUGGCAUUGAUUUGAAAGAUGGGUAUAUGUACAAGGAUGAUGCAACCAGUGUUUAUUUUUGGGUUGAAUGCUUACAGACUCAUGUCCAAUAUUAUUUUACAAACAACAGGGCAUACUAAUGGAUAUUCAUUCUGAAUUUAACAUUUAUGAUUUUUGUCUUAUUUUCCUUAAUACUGUGCCAAAAGGAAAUGUUAAUUAAGUUUGGCAAAUCCUUUAUCGCAAUCGAUGGAACUCAUGGGCUCAAUUCCUAUGACUUUGAACUUAUGACAGUAUUAGUAAAAGAUGAAUUUGGGAAUGGAUUUUGUACUGCUUUCUUAUUUUCAAAUAGAAAAGAUACCUACUUUAAUUUA